AUGUUCAGAAACUAUUGCCCAAGCCAACUACUCUGUUCAUGUGUUUCUUCAGGAAUGGAAGGAAAUUCGUUAAUAUUGUGCAUAUCAACAAACUGUAUUGAAGUGAAAGUGACUGUGCACCUCCGUGAUGUUUUCAAUUGGAUAAUGUUUUUUAGAGCUCAAAUCUUGCUUUUAUUCUACCUUGAUUGCAAUAUGCAAAUGUGUACUUACUUCGUAAAUGUGAAAGGAUUUGAAUGUAUACUGGAGUGGCAUUCAUUUAUUUUCAUUGGUAUUUUCCUUUCUGAAGUUAAAUUGAAGCUUUUGACAGCGGCUACUUGUAUUUGUGCCAAUAUAUUUUUGUAUCAUGCAGACACGUUUCCUAUAGCAAGUUAUCACAUUAGUACUACAUGA
rnacentral:rRNA from 1 species